ensembl:lncRNA LINC00293 long intergenic non-protein coding RNA 293
GGGUGCUGUCCUAAGAGAGCCUUGUGACAUAUCUCAACACCCAGCACUCAAAUGAUAUGGCUCUUCUGCCCAGUUUCUGCCCACAUAUUAAAUUGUGACAUAUUUCUAGGGAAGCAUCUAGGUGAUAUGACUCUCCUCAUCUGCCUGAGUUCUGCCUACUGGGGACAUGGGGACAUAUCUGUGAUCCCAUGACCUAAGUGAUAUGCCUCUCUUCCUCUGCCUGGGCCUUUAAAAUGGUGGGAUUGUGACAUAUUGCUGAGCCCAGCAUUCAGGUCAUGUGACUCUACUCUUUUUUGUGAACCAUGCCCACAAAGGGAAAUUUUGACCUAUUGCACCCAGAUGAUGUUACUCUUCUGAUAGAGUCCUGAAAAAAGAGGGAAUUAUUGCAUACUGGUGGGCCCAGCUGCUGAUGAUGCUACAGUCCUUCCUGUGCCAGAGCCACAGACAGUAUUUUGACAUAAUUUCGGCCCAUUUGACUCUGCCAAGAGAGGGGAUUAUUACAUAUUGCAGAGCCCAGCACCUAGGUGGAGUGACUCUCAUCUUUUUCUUCUACCCCGUAUAUAGCCAGCUUGGUGACCUACUAUUUGAGUCUAUACCCAGGCCCAGACCACAGAUGAAAUUGUGCAAUAUGUGGAACAAACACCUAAACAAUAUAUAACACCUUCCUUGGCUCUGUCUACAAAGGGCACUUUUAUAUAUCACUGGGACCAUCAACCAGGUGAUAUAACCCUCUUCUCUGGAAUGGGCCCCACACAAAGGAAGGAUAGUGACAUAUUGCAAGCCCAGGCACACAGGCCCAGAGCACAGUUGAAAUUGUGACAUAUGUACACCAAGCAACCAAGCAAUGUAUAACACCUCAUUUGGCAAUGGAAUCGAGGGCACUUUUACAUAUCACUGAGACCAGCGCCCAGCUGAUGUGAAAUAUUGGCCUGAACCCUGCCUACAAAAGCAUUGUGGCUUUUAUCUAGCUCCAUUACAUAAGUGAUGUGACUUCCUUCUACUGCCUUGGCCCUGCACUUAUGGUGAAUCGUGACACAAAAUUGGGUAGAGCAACCAGGUGAUGUGACCCUUUUUUUUUUGGCGGGGGGCCAGUCUGUCAAUAGGAAGCUUUAACAUAUCACUUGGCUCAGCACCU